rnacentral:lncRNA from 1 species
AGCGUACGGGUUUAUUGACAAGUAAUAAUUGUGAUGAGUAAAGUAUCGUCCCACAGGGAAUAAGGAUUAAUUCUAGGAUAUUUGAUAAAUUUGAAUUCGUGUUUGUGACUAAAACUAUCGAAUGAAUAGUUAACGGAUUUUAAAACUAAAAUUUAUAAAGGUAAUGGAGGUUGAUUUAAAACUCGAAUAUGUGAAUGUACUGGAUUUCAGACGCCAUUGAGUAACGCUUGGUUCUAAUUCUCAACUAGUGUUAAUUAUCUCAAUUUAUGCAAUUGCGACGAUCGAUAAUUCCACAAUUAUUUAUUAUUCUUUUCCAAGAUAUAAUAAACCUAUGUUUACCACGAGACGAUCCUAUUCCUAGUUCGAAUUCAUAUGGCGAACAUGCAUUGACAAUUAGGAUUAUCACUUAUGAUCGCACACGCCACAAAUAUUAUUUCUAAUAUUUAUUGCCCGUGUGUCCCAAUAAUAGUGUUCUACCUAUCGUGAGUUUUCCAACAUUACGAAACAGCAACUUAUUAUCCUAAUGAUGUGCAAACAUUAAAACAAUCUAGUUAUGCAUAUUAUUGGAAUCACAACGCGAUGAUUAACAUAAAAACAUAGGUCUCGAAUUAAAACUAAAAAUUAAACAAUUUUGUCAUCAUCCAAUACAUGAAAAGACUUAGCCUAACAUAAUGUUGAAAUUAAAAACAUAAAAGUUGGAAGAUAUCACCAAAUAAUUUGACGGAACGUGACUCAUUUUUGUCAAAAUAAUUCUGCCACUUUUUUCCAGUUCCAAUUCCACCCAAGCUGCCUGUUUUCUGUCAAUAUAUGUUAUUCAAUUCAGCACCUGGCAAUUGGACCCAAGCUGCAGCCGACUUUUCUAUUUUACAAUUCAGUUUCUGGCCUUGCUUCGGCUUUAUGUGAGAAUUGUUUAUAUAAAUCAACGUGUAUCCCAGCAAUUAAUUCCCAGCAGCCUACUUCCUGUCACUUUUAAUUCUCCAAAGCAGCUGGCAAAUUACUUAUUCAACCACUUCAAUUCCCCGGCUCCAAUCUGCUUCGGCUUUUUGUAUGAGUAUAUAUAUAUAAUUAAUUCCAGCCGUUUUUCUGCCGACUAAGAUCUUCAAUUAAUCCCCGGCACUCUCUCUCUCUCUUUUUUUUUGCUUUGGUUUUCUGUUUGCAUUUUUAUUUUCUUCAGCCCCCGGCUUCCUUUCUCUCCACUUUUCUUUUCUUUUGUUUCCUGCCGGCCGUCCUUUCUUUUUUUAUUCCCUUGGCUCUCCUCCUCUUUUUUUCUACAUGUGUUUGUAAAUAUAUACCUCAACAAGUAAACCCUUGUUGUAGCCCAAUUAGGGGUCCAAAAUAAUAUUAAAUUUGAAUUCCAGGACAAGUCCAAUUGAGGCCCACGUAAUAGAUUAUUUUUCUUCAAGUCCUCAAUUCUUUUAAUGUGCAAAAUUUGAUCUCCAACUUCCAUCCAACGUCCAACUUAGGCCACUACUUUAGAUUGUUCCAUUUUUCGCCCUUUUUGUGUCUUUCUUCAAUUCUUCGUUCAAACAUGAGUUUUACCUAAGAAAAAUAAUACAAUAAAAUUUAGAUCAUAUUUUGCCAAAAGAACAAUAAAAUUAUAUAGUUUAGAGCCCCGAAUAAGUGUAUAAAAUACACUUAUCAAACCCCCAAACUUGAAUCUUUGUUGUCCUCAAACAAAACUGAAAUCUAAGUAACAACAAACAUACAGGCAUGCAAAAAUUGUUUGGUUGGACAGUUCAACUUUUUACCACAGCAUUUGAGAUCACUGAAUUAACUCUAUAAACUGCUUCAAAGUUGCAAUACCAAACCAAUUUUCACUCUUCCAAUGCAAAAUCGACGUGUGUGUGUGAAAAAUUAAGUAGACACUAAUGACUUCACAAGUUGUUUUAAUUUCCGACCCUCUAUGGUCAAAUAUAUUCUUUCAUCUCUCGUAAGAUUCACACAGCCCCAACUUUAUUAUUUUCACUCAAUUCCCAGCAGGUGAUCUAAGGUUGAAUUUUUCAUUACUAUCAUUACCCN